rnacentral:ribozyme from 11 species
GAAGGAGUGAAUCAAAGAAAAGAGAACAAACGGUGAAGUCUGCGUCUGCAUCCGUCCACCUGUCUCUGUGUUCCUCAUUCUUUCACUUGCUUUUUUCCUUCCUCCCUCACUUUUCUUUCUU